rnacentral:lncRNA from 1 species
GGGGAUGCAGGAAUGAGGCAAGCGAGGCAGCCAGGAGGGUGGCGAUUGGGCUUGAAUUGUUAUGUUCGACGUUAGUUAUGGAGGGUUGGGACAGCAGACAUGGGAAAUCAGGUUUAUUAAUUCCUUUUUUUUUUCUGUGAUAAAUACCAUGACCAAUACCAUGCUUGUGGGAGGAAGAGUUUAUUAGGGCACCUGGUUCCAGAGUCUGUAAAGCCAAGGGAGGCAAAGGAGCAGGAGACGGGAGCUGCAGGCUGAGCGAUUACAUCUUUGACCACACAGAAAGCAGAGAAAACCCUGGAAGUGGGACGGAGCUAAAAACCCUCAAAGGCUGCCUCUACUCACAAAAGUUCUCCCCGCAAGGCUGUACUCAUACAGGUUCCAUAAGCCUUAUACAACACCACCAACGCGUGUUCGAAUACACAAGCCUAUGGGAGGGGGCAGGACGUACUUCAUUGUAACCACCACAGAGGAUAAUUACUAAACUUUCAAAACCAGAGCAGGGCAGGACUGGAGGAAUGACGUCACAGAGCCAGAGAAAUCUGAGAACAAGAUGAUAGUUCGAGGAGGUGAAGGAGGUUCAUGAAGGAUGUACCCAGCACCAUGACUGCCCCACUGUGUAACCAUGGGAACAACACUUCCAGGCUCCAAAAUUCCUCAUUUACAGGCAGUAACUUGCGAGACUGGAGACGGAUCCGCGUGUAACUUCUGCGGAUCCCACGCAGAUCCCCAGAAGUCUUGGUUUCUCUGUGAAGUCUUGCCUGACAACGGGCUCUGUUUUCA